rnacentral:rRNA from 1 species
GGCUUAGAGUUUGAUCCUGGCUCAGGACGAACGCUGGCGGCGUGCCUAAUACAUGCAAGUCGAACGGUCUUUUCUAUGGAAGCUUGCUUCCGCUGAGAAGAUAGUGGCGAACGGGUGAGUAACACGUGGGUAACCUGCCCAUAAGAGGGGGAUAACAUCCGGAAACGGGUGCUAAUACCGCAUAGUUUUCUUGAUCGCAUGAUCGAGAAAGGAAAGACGGCCUUUGUGCUGUCGCUUAUGGAUGGACCCGCGGCGUAUUAGUUAGUUGGGUGAGGUAAUGGCUCACCAAGACGAUGAUACGUAGCCCGACCUGAGAGGGUGAUCGGCCACAUUGGGACUGAGACACGGCCCAAACUCCUACGGGAGGCAGCAGUARGGAAUCUUCCGCAAUGGACSAAAGUYUGAMSGRCAACGCCGCGUGARUGAAGAAGKUUUCSGAUCSUAAAACUCUGUUGUC